rnacentral:piRNA from 1 species
UGCUGCCCCCUCGAAGAUAGCCUGAGU